rnacentral:rRNA from 1 species
UAUCGGAACGUACCCAGAAGUGGGGGAUAACGUAGCGAAAGUUACGCUAAUACCGCAUACGAUCUACGGAUGAAAGUAGGGGACCGCAAGGCCUUAUGCUUUUGGAGCGGCCGAUAUCUGAUUAGCUAGUUGGUGAGGUAAAGGCUCACCAAGGCGACGAUCAGUAGCUGGUCUGAGAGGACGACCAGCCACACUGGAACUGAGACACGGUCCAGACUCCUACGGGAGGCAGCAGUGGGGAAUUUUGGACAAUGGGGGCAACCCUGAUCCAGCAAUGCCGCGUGAGUGAAGAAGGCCUUCGGGUUGUAAAGCUCUUUUGUCAGGGAGGAAACGGCUGUGGCUAAUAUCCACGGCUAAUGACGGUACCUGAAGAAUAAGCACCGGCUAACUACGUGCCAGCAGCCGCGGUAAUACGUAGGGUGCAAGCGUUAAUCGGAAUUACUGGGCGUAAAGCGUGCGCAGGCGGUUUUGUAAGUCUGUUGUGAAAUCCCCGGGCUUAACCUGGGAAUUGCAAUGGAGACUGCAAGGCUGGAGUCUGGCAGAGGGGGGUAGAAUUCCACGUGUAGCAGUGAAAUGCGUAGAGAUGUGGAGGAGCACCGAUGGCGAAGGCAGCCCCCUGGGUCAAGACUGACGCUCAUGCACGAAAGCGUGGGGAGCAAACAGGAUUAGAUACCCUGGUAGUCCACGCCCUAAACGAUGUCUACUAGUUGUCGGGUCUUAAUUGACUUGGU